rnacentral:rRNA from 1 species
AUUGAACGCUGGCGGCAUGCUUUACACAUGCAAGUCGAACGGCAGCGCGGGGCAACCUGGCGGCGAGUGGCGAACGGGUGAGUAAUAUAUCGGAACGUACCCAGAAGUGGGGGAUAACGUAGCGAAAGUUACGCUAAUACCGCAUACGAUCUACGGAUGAAAGUAGGGGACCGCAAGGCCUUAUGCUUUUGGAGCGGCCGAUAUCUGAUUAGCUAGUUGGUGAGGUAAAGGCUCACCAAGGCGACGAUCAGUAGCUGGUCUGAGAGGACGACCAGCCACACUGGAACUGAGACACGGUCCAGACUCCUACGGGAGGCAGCAGUGGGGAAUUUUGGACAAUGGGCGCAAGCCUGAUCCAGCAAUGCCGCGUGAGUGAUGAAGGCCUUCGGGUUGUAAAGCUCUUUUGUCAGGGAAGAAACGGUAGAGGCUAAUAUCCUUUGCUAAUGACGGUACCUGAAGAAUAAGCACCGGCUAACUACGUG